rnacentral:rRNA from 1 species
GAUGAACGCUGGCGGUAUGCUUAACACAUGCAAGUCGAACGGUGUCUUCGGACACAGUGGCGGACGGGUGAGUAACGCGUGAGAAUCUAGCCUCAGGUCGGGGACAACCACUGGAAACGGUGGCUAAUACCGGAUGUGCCGAGAGGUGAAAGGCUUGCUGCCUGAGGAUGAGCUCGCGUCUGAGUAGCUAGUUGGUGUGGUGAGAGCCUACCAAGGCGACGAUCAGUAGCUGGUCUGAGAGGAUGAUCAGCGACACUGGGACUGAGACAAGGCCGAGCCUCCUACGGGAGGCAGCAGUGGGGAAUUUUCCGCAAUAAGCGAAAGCCUGCCGGAGCAAUACCGCGUGAGGGAGGAAGGCUCUUGGGUUGUAGACCUCUUUUCUCAGGGAAGAAUUCAAUGACGGUACCUGAGGAAUAAGCCUCGGCUAACUCCGUGCCAGCAGCCGCAGUAAAAC